rnacentral:rRNA from 1 species
UACGAAGGGUGCAAGCGUUAAUCGGAAUCACUGGGCUUAAAGCGCGUGUAGGCGGGCCCGCCCGCGUCGGCUGCUGAAAUCCCCCCGGCUCAACCGGGGGAACGGGCACCGAUACGGGCGGCCUCGAGGGGGGUAGGGGGGACUGGAACUUCCGGUGGAGCGGUGAAAUGCGUUGAGAUCGGAAGGAACGCCCCGUGGCGAAAGCGAGUCCCUGGACCCUUUCUGACGCUGAGACGCGAAAGCCAGGGGAGCGAACGGG